rnacentral:lncRNA from 1 species
AAUCCUUUUGGGGUCUGCAGAACCCGUAGGGGUCCGUGGGAUCUUUUGGGGUCAAUAAAACCUUGGGGGCUGUGGGAACUUUUGGGGUCCCUAAAACCCUUCAGGGGCCAUAAAAUCCUUUUGGGGUCGAUAGAAACUGAGGGUCUCUGGAGCCUUUUGGGGGUCUGUGGAGCCUUUUGGGGUCUGGGGGACCUUUGGGGUCUGUGGGACACUUUGGGGUCUGUGGGAUCUUUGGGGUCUGUGGGAUCUUUGGGAUCCUUUGGGGUCUGUGGAGCCCUUUGGGGUCUGUGGAGCCUUUUGGGGUCUCUGGGACCUUUGGGGUCUCUGGGACACUUUGGGGUCUGUGGGACCCUUUGGGGUCUCUGGGACCUUUUGGGGGUCUGUGGGACACUUUGGGGUCUCUGGGAUCUUUGGGGUCUGUGGGAUCUUUGGGAUCCUUUGGGGUCCUGGAGCCCUUUGGGGUCUGUGGAGCCUUUUGGGUCUGUGGGACACUUUGGGGUCUGUGGGAUCUUUGGGGUCUGUGGGACACUUUGGGGUCUCUGGGACCUUUUGGGGGUCUGUGGGACACUUUGGGGUCUCUGGGACCUUUGGGAUCCUUUGGGGUCCUGGAGCCCUUUGGGAUCCGCGGUGGCCCCGGCCCUCACUGGGACACGGGGAUGGGGACACUGCUCGGGACCCCGCUGUGACCCCAGUGUCCCCAAUGUCCUUCUGUCCCCAGUGUCCCCAAUGUCCUUCUGUCCUCAAUGUCCCCAAUGUCCCAAAUGUCCCUCUGUCCCCAAUGUCCCCAAUGUCCUUCUGUCCUCAAUGUCCCUGUGUCCCCAAUGUCCCUCUGUCCCUGCUGUCGUUGGUGUCCCCGCUGUCCCCCUGC